rnacentral:lncRNA from 1 species
GUAAAUUUUUCCGAAGUCAGCUACCGCCGGAAAGCUGACAAAGUGCAAACUGUUGGUUUCUCCAUGAAAACAAACCUAUUACAAGACGCUGGUUGCUUCCAGUUGGGCUCUGACAAAGCUUGGCGUGGCACUGCCAUAGGCCCUUCUGGAGGAAACUGCUAGCAGACAAACUUGUCAGUCAAGAUGUGACAUGGGUGACACUAGCAGAGGGGCUGCAUGGCAUAUCUUUGCGUAUGCAAGAUACGUUGAAGAAGUUUAUGGUUUGGAGAAGGUAGAUAAGUCAAGCUGGGCCGAGUGCCAAGCACUCCAGGAGCCGAGAUUGAAGCAGAGCCUGCAGAAGGACACCAUUGUAGAGGUGACCCAGACACCAGGAUGCUUAAGAGUAUAGGCAGACAGUGUGGAGUUUUGGAACAAGUCACAAGCGUGCAGGAAACAAAUAACCCAGACUCUGGUUUUGAUUUAUCCUUGAUAGGCUGUGAGAUCUUGAGCUAGAAAUACCAACUUCUCCAC